GUUAAAUAUUUUCGUAUGAGAAAAUGAUUUUGGUAUUACGUAUGUAUGAGAAUUUCGAUAGUACCCGGCCCCUUAAUAAAUAAACAGACGGACA